rnacentral:rRNA from 1 species
GACGAACGCUGGCGGCGUGCCUAAUACAUGCAAGUCGAGCGCAGGAAGCUCACGGAGCUCUUCGGAGGGAAGUGAAGGGAAUGAGCGGCGGACAGGUGAGUAACACGUAAGGAACCUGCCCCAAGGAUUGGGAUAACUCCGAGAAAUCGGAGCUAAUACCGAAUAGUUCUUCAGACCGCAUGGUCUGAUGAUGAAAGGCGCUUCGGCGUCACCUUGGGAUGGCCUUGCGGUGCAUUAGCUAGUUGGUGGGGUAAUGGCCCACCAAGGCGACGAUGCAUAGCCGACCUGAGAGGGUGAGCGGCCACACUGGGACUGAGACACGGCCCAGACUCCUACGGGAGGCAGCAGUAGGGAAUCUUCCACAAUGGACGAAAGUCUGAUGGAGCAACGCCGCGUGAGUGAUGAAGGUUUUCGGAUCGUAAAACUCUGUUGUAAGGGAAGAACAGGUAUGAGGGGUAAUGCUCAUGCUAUGACGGUACCUUGCGAGAAAGCCACGGCUAACUACGUGCCAGCCGCCGCAGUAACAC